ensembl:lncRNA
UUGGGGAGGAAAGGGUUUAUUCAGCUUACACUUCCACAUUGCUGUUCAUCACCAAAGGAAGUCAGGACUGGAACUCAAGCAAGUCAGGAAGCAGGAGCUGAUGCAGCGGCCAUGGAGGGUGCUACUUACUGGCUUGCUUCUCCUGGCUUGCUCAGCUUGCUUUCUUAUAGAACCCAAGACUACCAGCCCAGGGACGGCACCACCCACAAAGGGCUGGGUCCUCCACCCUUGAUCUUUAGUUGAGAAAAUGCGUUACAGCUGGAUCUCAUGAAGGCAUUUCCACAAUUGAGGCUCCUUUUCCUGUGAUAACUCCAGCUUGUGUCAAGUUGACACACAAAACCAGACAGUGUAGUGAUUUCUUUGCCUGUUUAAAUAUGAACCAGUGUACUCUAGUUUUCCCCAGUAGAACAAAUAAAUCUUCACCUUUUAAGUAUUAACUAGUGACGGCUAGAAAGGUGGCUUAGCAGAUAAAAGACACAAUGCAAAACCCAAUGAUGGGUUCAGUUCCUCGUUGUGGAAGGAACUGACUCCCAUGGGUUGACCUCUGACUCCCAAUGUGCGUGCCCACGCCUUCCAGAUUCAUAAAUAAAUGCAAAUAUUAAUGAGCUAUCUUAUUGUUUUGCUACAACUACUGUAGAAUCAAAAAACAGUAUCAUCUGAGGAUGAGACUGCUCAAUCCUGGCAACACUGAAUAGGUUAGGUAUUUGCUGAACAGUGAACUCAAGAGUACAGAAUUCUCUAAAGCUUGUACGUGCUUCGUGAUUUGUCAGUUGCAAAGCAGUGACCGCUUUACUACCACAGGGACUACAGCCUUCGGCGUGAUAAUUCUUGCCUACAGAAAGGAGAGUUCUAAGGACUGAGUCACCGUCCUUCACUAUGUUUGUGUACACACAACAGGUGAGAAGAAACCCCAGCUCUUCACACUCUCAGUACUCUUCAGAUCACGCCUUCAUCCCCGAUCUUAGGACACUGUCAUUGAUGUCAUGCAGUACAGCUGGGUGGCACAUUUUUUAACCCAGGCCUGGUUUUCACCGGUGAUGUGUGUCUGGAUAAUUCCCUAUCAACCACUUCACACUCCAUGCCAGCCCUUGGGGGUGGGGGAGAAAAGGAGGAAGUGGGAGAACAGCAGAAAGGCUAACUUGUUUGUACAGUGACAUUAGUACAUUGGACAUUUCACUGGAAGGCAUUUGAUCAAUCUCUUGGGAAAAUCUGCAAGUCAAGAGUACAUCAGGCAAAUGGGCACCUGUCUUCUUGACAUUAGCAGACAUUGCAUUUAAUAAGGGCUCUAUUGACUUCAAGCAAAAUUAAUUCUAUUGCGACAUUUCUUUGCAACCCUUCAACCUGGAAUAAUCCUAACACAGGGUAGACUGUCAAGGACAACGGAACGUCAGCGAUGAAUUCAUGACACUUGCACUUUGCAGCGUCCAUCAUUCAGCUGACCACACCUUGCGUUUCUGGCAGGCAGGGUUAUGACAGGCCACACUUAUUUCUACUUCCUCUUUACUGCGGCGGUGACUCUAGCAGGCAUGCCUAUCAUCCGCCAUAUAAUUGUAGACUUUCCUCACGUACCCCACCCUUCAACGUUCAGAGUCGUGUAACUGCUUUCUGUCUUCUCUUAAACUUUUCCAUCACCUUUAAUUUUCUUAUUCUCCCUUUAUUGCCUCUUAUUUACCCUCUUAUCUUUUUCUAAAAAUUACCGUUCCUAUCCCUUAAGUGUAUAUGGAUUCCAUUACAGUGAAUAAUUUCUAGGCAUUACGGUUUCUGAAACAAAAAACCAAAUAUUCUCCAAAAUCAUAGUUGAGAGUGGGAAACAGACGUGGGAAGUUCUGUGGUGUGUGUAGGCUCCUUGCUGCUUUCAAGGAUGCGAAGAUGAACUCCUGUAGCACUUUCCCCGAGGACACUGCAUAUUUACGGCGACGGUGGCAGCAUUCAUGAUUAGUAAAUUCCCGGUAGGUCAGUAACUGGGCCAGCAGCCAUGGACGAUGGCACUGAAUUUUACAGAUCUAAAUACAUCAGUAAAUACUAAUCAGAAAAAUAUGGCUCUCCCAAACAGAGGGAGCUUGCGUUUCUUGUGGUCUCUUCUCUCCAUUCUCCUGUGCUGUCCGUUUCCUCCCUCCUGCCCCGGGGGUCCACGAGAACCCACACCACUAUUUUCUCCUGUCUGUUGGACUAGGAGACUGGUACCCGCCGACCCUGCGCCGCGCCUGCGCACAACAUCUUCUCGCGUGAACGCCCCUGCGGCGGCCGCCGACUCUGCGGACCUGGCACUGACAGGGAUAAGCCACCCUGCGCGUCCCCAUGGAGCAGGGUAUUACCCUGCUCCCCCGAAGCAAGUCACUCCUCCCGCCGUCAGGGUCGCACGUGAGCCGGUGCACGCGGCCUCAGAAUAGUUAACACCCAGGAACCCGGCGCAGGAAGGUGCCGCCGAGAGGAACC